GUGUAUCUUGAGAGGGUCAAGGUGAUCACAGAUGAGAUUGGGGCUGAUGAUAGUAGAGCCAUUCAGAUGGCUGGGUUCACACUUAAGUGCAAGAAGGCACGAGAGUGGUUCAAGAAUUAUGUGAACCCGAAAGUGGAUAGCAUGUCUUGGGAUGAGUUUGCAAACGAGUUUGCAGAAUGGGUUUUCCCAGAUAGUUCAAGGGAGCUGAAGAUGAUAGAGUUUGAGCAAUUGAGGCAGACUGAUGAGAUGGGUGUAGAGGAGUUCACAGACAGAUUUUUGGAGCUGUUGCCAUUUGCAGGGCAAAACCUUGACUCAGACCAGAAAAGGUCAAGGAGGUAUAUCAUGAAACUCCACUCCAGAUAUUCCUCCUUGAUCCAGUCAGCAGAUAGGGAGAGCUUCCAUGCCAUAGUGGAUAUG
rnacentral:lncRNA from 1 species